rfam:Myotis brandtii contig206912, whole genome shotgun sequence.
AGGCCCAGAAAGAGAAGCAGGGUCUGAUCCGCAGCCUCCGUGGCAGCUGUUGAUCAGCUUUUGCCUCUCUUUCUCUCUGGG